GCGGGCGCCCGGCCCGUGCUGGGGGGCGGGGAAGAGGUGGGGGUGUCCCGCGGCAACAACCCGCGCCCGCCCGAGCAGCCGGGGCUCAGUGGGUGUCCGCGCGCGGGACGCCCUGCUCCGCCCGCCGCACCCCGCCACCGUUUGCACUGUUUCUUGCACCUUUUCCCCAAGAAGACCAGCUCCUUCCUGGUACCGACUCUGCGUAGAUUCAGGCUCGCCCCGGUUUAGACUCCUGGCUCCCCUGAAGACAAGCUCUCGCCCCUUCUCCGGGCGGCUGCUCGGCGCCCUGCACUCUCUUUUACAGACCCCCGCCCCUCGGACCCCUGGGCGCCCUCGGCUGCAGCCCUGCCCCCCAUCCCCCCACUUGGGUCUCCUCCGAGCGCUUCCCGGGGCUUCCAUGUUCCGUCGCAGUCAUCGUAUGAGGCGUGAAAACCACAGGGGAAAAGCAGAGCAUGAAAGCAAAAUUAAUAUUAGGAUUUGCA